rnacentral:hammerhead_ribozyme from 1 species
AUCCAGCUCAUGAGCUCUAAAUAGGACGAAACGCGCGUCCUGGAU